rnacentral:rRNA from 1 species
AACGAACGCUGGCGGCAGGCUUCAUACAUGCAAGUCGCGCGAUUAAACCCAGCAAUGGGAUAUAAAGCGGCGAACGGGUGAGUAACAGGUGGAUAAUCUGCCUUUUGGUGGGGGAUAACGGCUGGAAACGGCCGCUAAUACCGCAUGUCGUUGCGAGGGCUAUGGCUCUUGCAAAGAAAGGCGCUGCAAGGCGCUGCCAAAAGAUGAGUCCGCCCCCCAUUAGCUAGUUGGCGGGAUAAUAGCCCACCAAGGCUGUGAUGGGUAGCCGAGCUGAGAGGUUGAUCGGCCACACUGGAACUGAGACACGGUCCAGACACCUACGGGUGGCUG